rnacentral:rRNA from 1 species
UUAAAUUGAGAGUUUGAUCCUGGCUCAGGACGAACGCUGGCGGCGUGCUUAACACAUGCAAGUCGAGCGAGGAA